ensembl:lncRNA
UUUCCUUUCUACUGAAUAUCUCAUUAAAGUUCUACUUCAGUGACACCUUGUCCUAUUCUCAGAACCUUCUGAAUUACAUGGAGGAAUAGAAUUGCCAGAUUGACUUUUAGAGGGCCUUCUGUUCCUUCUGCCUCUGGGCAGGAGAGUAAUGGAACAAAAUAUUUUGCCAAGAACAGCAGCACACAAUACCUGGCAAGACACAAAAUAUGUAUUUGCAUGGCUGGGAGAAAGGCUUGGAAACUCGCAUAGCAACCUAAGCAAUUAUAGAGACAGGCACAUGAUCUCCUCUGAGGAGCUGGGUCUGAGCCACAGGAGGAAUAGAGCACAGUUUGUGCAUUUCCAGGGAGAAAUUCAAUGCCUUUUUCAAAGACUCUGAUCAAACAGUAGUCAUGUAUGGAUGUGAGAGUUGGACCAUAAAGAAGGCUGAUCACUGAAGAACUGAUGCUUUUGAACUGUGGUGUUGGAGAAGACUCUUUUGAGAGUCCCUUGGACUGCAAGGACAUUAAACCAGGUAAUCCUAAAGGAAAUCAACCUUGCAUAUUCACUGGGAGGACUGAUAGAAGCUGAAUCUCCAAUACUUUGGUCACCUGAUGGAUAGAGCUGACUCACUGGAAAAGAUCCUGAUGGUGGGAAAGAUUGAGGGCAGGAGAAGAAGG